rfam:Neurospora crassa OR74A linkage group II, whole genome shotgun sequence.
UCUUCCGUAGUAUAGUGGUCAGUAUGUGAGCUUGUCAAGCUUUGAACAUCGUCAAAUCAGUUCGAUUCGCUCGAGACCCGGGUUCAAUUCCCGGCGGGAGAG